rnacentral:rRNA from 1 species
CCUACGAGUGGCAGCAGUGAGGCAUAUUGAUCAAUGGACGAGAGUCUGAACCAGCCAAGUAGCGUGAAGGAUGACUGCCCUAUGGGUUGUAAACUUCUUUUAUAUGGGAAUAAAACGUUCCACGUGUGGGAUUUUGUAUGUACCAUAUGAAUAAGGAUCGGCUAACUCCGUGCCAGCAGCCGCGGUAAUACGGAGGAUCCGAGCGUUAUCCGGAUUUAUUGGGUUUAAAGGGAGCGUAGGUGGAUUGUUAAGUCAGUUGUGAAAGUUUGCGGCUCAACCGUAAAAUUGCAGUUGAUACUGGCAGUCUGGAGUACAGUAGAGGUGGGCGGAAUGCGUGGUGUAGCGGUGAGAUGCUUAGAUAUCACGAAGAACUCCGAUUGCGAAGGCAGUUCACUGGACUGCAACUGACACUGAGGCUCGAAAUUGUGGGUAUCAAACAGGAUUAGAUACCCCUGUAGUC